rnacentral:rRNA from 1 species
UACGUAGGGGGCAAGCGUUGUCCGGAAUCAUUGGGCGUAAAGGGCGCGUAGGCGGCCCACUAAGUCGAACGUGAAAUCCCUGGGCUCAACCCAGGAACUGCGUCCGAUACUGGUGGGCUCGAAUCCGGGAGAGGGAUGUGGAAUUCCAGGUGUAGCGGUGAAAUGCGUAGAUAUCUGGAGGAACACCGGUGGCGAAGGCGACAUCCUGGACCGGUAUUGACGCUGAGGCGCGAAAGCCAGGGGAGCAAACGGG